GGUUUUUCUGUUCAGUCCAGAUGUGUGUUCUGUCAGUUGCUGCGCUACCUGUUCUUCAUAUUGGAUGUAGCCAGUUUCCUCAGACUCCACGUGUGUAGUGACUCCGCCCCGUCCAGUCUGCGGCAUCAAAGCAACAUGGAGGAGAAUGCAAACAGAGUCAACUGAGCAACAGCAGCUUGUACCAAAGAAACACGCAGUGUCUGUCGUUUGGACAAGUUUUGGCUUCAAUAAAGAUGACAACGAACAAACUCACAUUAAAUGCAACCCCUGCAGAAAAACUGUUUCAGCGACCAAAGGUAAAACCACCAAUCUGUUUCAACACUUGGAGCACAAUCACGUUACCGAAUAUGAACAGUGCAUGGCUCAAAAAAGAAAAGAGACUGACAGGCGCCCAGCAACAAGUGCCUCUAUAAAGCAGGUGUCGAUAACGCAAACAUUGACAAACGCUACAAAAUAUGAAAAGGAUUUAAGAAGAUGGAAAGAAAUAACUGACGCCAUUUGUUACCACAUUGAAGGAUAUGGCUCCCAUAGCUACAGUGGAGCACAGUGGGUUUAAACAACUCAUUAAAACACAUGACAGAAGACACACUGUUCCACCGUGAUCAUAUUUUUCCCAAACUGCGUUGCCCAACAUGUACCAAACAAGGUAGCUGCUGAACUGAAGUCUGUUAAGCAACAGGUGCCUUGAGACAGUAUAUUUUCCAGUCCAUCACAAGUGAGAGAUGAUCGCGCAGGGCCUGAGAGAUACUCUUUCUGCGUGGGAACUAACAGAAGAGAACCUCGUGGCCAUUAUGAAGGACAACUGCGCUAAUGUUGUCAAAGCUGAACGGAUGGACAUGGCAGCAAUGUUUUGGACACAGGCUGCACCUGCAAUCGAAAAUGCAGUCAAAGAUCAAUGUGUGGUGCGGGCAAUGAUGGUGUGCAAAAACAGUCUGUGCCUUUUCCUAUAGUUUGAAAAAGCAGAAGGUAUUAAGGCGCAACAAGAGCUGAACCUGCCUCAACACAAGCUGAAAACCGAUGGGGAUCAACGCAAAUGAUGACUGCACUGAGAAAAAGAGAGCCAUUCCACAGGUACUCGCUGAUUAUAAAAAAUCAAGGCAUCUUAUUCCAUCUUGGGCUGACCUGGAUGUCUUGGGGGCUGUCAACAGAGCUCUUUCCCCAUUGAUGGAGUUCACAGAUGCCUGGUCAGGAGAGGAGUAUGUGACCAUUUCAUUCGACCCCAUUACAGAAGAGCUACUGGACACCGCCAAUUUUGUUGAUCCAAGAUUUACACAGACACAUACAUUUCUGCACACCAUGUCCCCUCCAUUCAGGAGAAAGUGAAAACGGAGAUGGUGUCAGCAGCUGCAGUCCGCAGGGAAAGUACCACUGAGAGAACACAGCCCUCUAGGUCUUCAUCAGAAACAAAGAAGCCAAAGGAAGUGAGGCACCUCCUUCAACUGUACCCACUUUAUCACUUCAGCAAACACUAGAAGCAGAGCUUAGCAGCUAGUUGGUGUCCCCCGUGCUGGAUAAUGAGGAAAAUCCACUGGAAUGGUGGGGAAAGCAUCAUGUACACUUCCCUACUCUAAGUAGGGUGGCGAAAAUUUAUCUCUGUAUACCAGCCCCUAACUCCCCAUCAGAGCGAGUUUUCAGGAGGAAACAUUGUUACAUGCCUCAGAUCUUCCCUGAAACCUGAGAAGGUAAACAUGCUAGUGUUUCUUAGUAAGAACCUGGAGUAAAUACUUAUUUUUAUAUGGCAAUAUUUAACAUUUGUUUACAAGAGAUAAAAGUUAUUUUCUACUUUUAAGAUGCAUUUAAGUAUUUACAAUAAUUUAUAUUGUCUGCAAAAAAGCUAUUUUUUAAAGUUUAUUUUCUACAUUUUUAGGAAACUUUCUUUCAAGCAAUGUUUGCUUUGAUUUCAAUUGUUCGAAAUAUGCAAUAAAUAAGCAUUAAUAGCUAA